UGGGGAAUAUUGCACAAUGGACGGAAGUUUGAUGCAGCGACGCCGCGUGAGGGAUGAAGGCCUUCGGGUUGUAAACCUCUUUCGCUGGGUUGAAAGGCCAUGCUUUGGGUGUGGUUGAUUUGAACUGGUAAAGAAGUACCGGCUAACUACGUGCCAGCAGCCGCGGUAAUACGUAGGGUACUAGCGUUGUCCGGAUUUAUUGGGCGUAAAGGGCUUGUAGGUGGUUUGUCGCGUCUGUCGUGAAAUCCUGUGGCUUAACCAUGGGCUUGCGGUGGGUACGGGCAGGCUUGAGUGCGGUAGGGGAGACUGGAAUUCCUGGUGUAGCGGUGGAAUGCGCAGAUAUCAGGAGGAACACCGGUGGCGAAGGCGGGUCUCUGGGCCGUUACUGACACUGAGGAGCGAAAGCGUGGGGAGCGAACAGG
rnacentral:rRNA from 1 species